CCCUUAGAUGUUCUGGGCUGCACGCGCGCUACACUGAAGCUAUCAACACGUUUUCCCUCCCUGAGAAGGGCGGGUAACCUUUUGAAACAGCUUCGUGGUAGGGAUCGGGGCUUGCAAUUGUUCCCCGUGAACCAGGAAUUCCUAGUAGACGCGAGUCAUAAGCUCGCAUCGAUUAAGUCCCUGCCCUUUGUACACACCGCCCGUCGCUACUACCGAUUGAACGUUUUAGUGAGGCAUUUGGACCGACGCAUCUCAGUUUAACCGCUGGUUUGUGUUGGAAAGACUUCCAAACUUGAGCGUUUAGAGGAAGUAAAAGUCGUAACA
rnacentral:rRNA from 1 species